UUCAUACUGCCUUUUUUUUUUUUUCCUUUAGUCAUAGGAAAUAUGGUUUUCAACAUCUCAAUGUACUUUCUUCAUUUAAUUAUUAAAUCACAAUUUAUGAAAACAAUAUUCUUUGUUCUUUGCAGGUCUCCCCUAUGAGGAACGAUGGCUGCUGCAGCAUGUUUAUUUAAGUACCAUGCUUAAACUAGACUUUAGCUCUCACGUGACUCACUAGAUCAGUUUUCAUUGCCCCUGGCUCUUUUUUAUUAUUUACCUUGCUUCUGAAGUUUCUUGUAAGGAGAUUAGAAUCCUUUACCAAAAAAAUACAGUGAGUUUGGGGCUCAUUUAAAAUGCAGUUAUUCACCCUGCAAGGGAAGGAUGAAUAACUUGGUGGCUGAGUGACAAACCAGUUUUAUUACCUCCCACCUGACACUGGCCAAGUUGAUCAUGUCUUAUCCAGAGCAGGACAAAGGCAGAACAGGUGAUGGUAGAAAUAGGUAGAAUAGAUAGAAAAGGUGAUGGAGGAGAUGUAGAAAGAAACAUGAUAAUCUGAAUGCUCUGACAACAAAUCUUCCUCAAAAUUGGAUGCAUGACCUGAGAAAACUUGCAUUCAAUUCAUGGGUGGUACAUGGAACUUCUAGCUCCCGUUGACUCCAGUGAAGUCUUAGAAAGGUCAAGAAGGCCUGAGCCUUGCAGAGAAAUCUAACCAUGCCCAGGCAUAAAGCUACAUCCCAACAUCUUUGCCCACGGACCUGGGGCAGCAGCGAUCCUGUUUCCUUUGCAGAACAGUCAAUGAAUUCCACAGCCAGCGUUUAG
rnacentral:lncRNA from 1 species